rnacentral:rRNA from 1 species
AUUGAACGCUGGCGGCAUGCCUUACACAUGCAAGUCGAACGGCAGCACGGGUGCUUGCACCUGGUGGCGAGUGGCGAACGGGUGAGUAAUAUAUCGGAACGUACCUUAUCGUGGGGGAUAACGCAGCGAAAGCUGCGCUAAUACCGCAUACGCCCUGAGGGGAAAGCGGGGACCGUAAGGCCUCGCGCGAUUAGAGCGGCCGAUAUCUGAUUAGCUUGUUGGUGGGGUAAAAGCCCACCAAGGCGACGAUCAGUAGCUGGUCUGAGAGGACGAUCAGCCACACUGGGACUGAGACACGGCCCAGACUCCUACGGGAGGCAGCAGUGGGGAAUUUUGGACAAUGGGGGCAACCCUGAUCCAGCAAUGCCGCGUGAGUGAAGAAGGCCUUCGGGUUGUAAAGCUCUUUUGUCAGGGAAGAAACAGCAGCUCUAACACAGUCUGCGAAUGACGGUACCUGAAGAAUAAGCACCGGCUAACUACGUG